rnacentral:rRNA from 1 species
AGAGUUUGAUCCUGGCUCAGGAUGAACGCUGGCGGUAUGCUUAACACAUGCAAGUCGAACGGGAUCUUCGGAUCUAGUGGCGGACGGGUGAGUAACGCGUGAGAAUCUGCCUUUAGGACGGGGACAACAGUUGGAAACGGCUGCUAAAACCCGAUGUGCCCUUCGGGGUGAAAUAUUUAUAGCCUGAAGAUGAGCUCGCGUCUGAUUAGCUAGUAGGUGCGGUAAUGGCGUACCUAGGCGACGAUCAGUAACUGGUCUGAGAGGAUGACCAGUCACACUGGGACUGAGACACGGCCCAGACUCCUACGGGAGGCAGCAGUGGGGAAUUUUCCGCAAUGGGCGCAAGCCUGACGGAGCAAUACCGCGUGAGGGAGGAAGGCUCUUGGGUCGUAAACCUCUUUUAUCAGGGAAGAACACAAUGACGGUACCUGAUGAAUCAGCAUCGGCUAACUCCGUGCCAGCAGCCGCGGUA